rnacentral:rRNA from 1 species
UACGUAGGGGGCUAGCGUUGUCCGGAUUUAUUGGGCGUAAAGAGCGUGUAGGCGGCCAGGUAGGUCUGCUGUGAAAACUCGAGGCUCAACCUCGAGACGUCGGCGGAAACCAUCUGGCUAGAGUCCGGAAGAGGAGAGUGGAAUUCCUGGUGUAGCGGUGAAAUGCGCAGAUAUCAGGAAGAACACCCGUGGCGAAGGCGGCUCUCUGGGACGGUACUGACGCUGAGACGCGAAAGC